GGUUAAGUGACUAAGCGUACACGGUGGAUGCCUAGGCAGUCAGAGGCGAUGAAGGGCGUGCUAAUCUGCGAAAAGCGUCGGUAAGGUGAU
rnacentral:rRNA from 1 species